UGCCAGCCGCCGCGGUAAUACAGAGGGUGCAAGCGUUAAUCGGAAUUACUGGGCGUAAAGCGCGUGUAGGUGGAUAUUUAAGUCAGAUGUGAAAGCCUUGGGCUCAACCUGAGAACGGCAUUUGAUACUGGAUAACUAGAGUAUGGUAGAGGAAAGUAGAAUUUCCGGUGUAGCGGUGGAAUGCGUAGAUAUCGGAAGGAAUACCAGUGGCGAAGGCGGCUUUCUGGACCAAUACUGACGCUGAGACGCGAAAGCGUGGGGAGCAAACAGGAUUAGAUA
rnacentral:rRNA from 1 species